rnacentral:rRNA from 1 species
GACGAACGCUGGCGGCGUGCCUAAUACAUGCAAGUCGAGCGCAGAGACGAGGAGCUUGCUCUUCUUACAUUAGCGGCGAACGGGUGAGUAACACGUAGGUAACCUGCCUUUUAGCGUGGGAUAACUUCGGGAAACGAUAGCUAAUACCGCAUAACAUUGUAUAACGCAUGUUUCUUUAGUGAAAGACGCUAUUGCUCCCCCAUAAAGAUGACUCCGGGUCGAUUAGGUAGUUUGGGAAGGUAACGGCCUCCUAAGGCAACGAUGCGUAGCCGACCUGAGGGGGUGAUCGGCCACACGGGAACUGAGACACGGUCCAGACUCCUAGGGGAGGCACCAGUAGGGAAUCUUCCGCAAUGGGCGAAAGCCGGACGGAGCAAGGCCGGGGGAGUGAUGAAGGUUUUCGGAUGUAAAAACUCUGUUAUUAGGGAAGAACAAAUGGGUAAGGAACUAUGCACGUCUUGACGGUACCUAAUCAGAAAGCCACGGCUAACUACGUG